GACGAACGCUGGCGGCGUGCCUAAUACAUGCAAGUUGAGCGCUGAAGGUUGGUACUUGUACCAACUGGAUGAGCAGCGAACGGGUGAGUAACGCGUGGGGAAUCUGCCUUUGAGCGGGGGACAACAUUUGGAAACGAAUGCUAAUACCGCAUAAAAACUUUAAACACAAGUUUUAAGUUUGAAAGAUGCAAUUGCGUCACUCAAAGAUGAUCCCGCGUUGUAUUAGCUAGGUGGUGAGGUAAAGGCUCAACAAGGCGAUGAUACAUAGCCGACCUGAGAGGGGGAUUGGCCACAAUGGGACGGAGACAAGGCCCAAUGUCCUACGGGAAGGAGCCAUAGGGAAUCUUUGGACAUGGACGGAAGUCUGACCGAGGAACGCCGGGUGAGUGAAGAAGGUUUUCGGAUCGUAAAACUCUGUUGGUAGAGAAGAAAGUUGGUGAGAGUGGAAAGCUCAUAAAGUGACGGUAACUACUCAGAAAGGGACGGCUAACUACGUG
rnacentral:rRNA from 1 species